rnacentral:rRNA from 1 species
GAUGAGCAUGCGUCCCAUUAGCUAGUUGGUAAGGUAACGGCUUACCAAGGCAACGAUGGGUAGGGGUCCUGAGAGGGAGAUCCCCCACACUGGUACUGAGACACGGACCAGACUCCUACGGGAGGCAGCAGUGAGGAAUAUUGGUCAAUGGGCGCAAGCCUGAACCAGCCAUGCCGCGUGCAGGAUGAAGCAUCUAUGGUGUGUAAACUGCUUUUGUACGAGAAGAAACACUCCUUCGUGAAGGAGCUUGACGGUAUCGUAAGAAUAAGGACCGGCUAACUCCGUGCCAGCAGCCGCGGUAAUACGGAGGGUCCAAGCGUUAUCCGGAAUCAUUGGGUUUAAAGGGUCCGUAGGCGGUUUUGUAAGUCAGUGGUGAAAGCCCAUCGCUCAACGGUGGAACGGCCAUUGAUACUGCAAGACUUGAAUUAUUGGGAAGUAACUAGAAUAUGUAGUGUAGCGGUGAAAUGCUUAGAGAUUACAUGGAAUACCAAUUGCGAAGGCAGGUUACUACCAAUAUAUUGACGCUGAUGGACG